GGACUCCACAACACAAAGCUAGAUGUGCCCUCUCAAACUUUUUUUUUUCCUACAACCGACAGCAGCGCGCGCACAGGAAGCCGACUGCCCAGGUGGGAAUUUAAGCAAUUUAACCAGUACAGUGCUUGCUUCUGAUGGAUUAAGAAAAUAAAAAAGAUGUGUAGAAAAAAAAACACACAGAAGAUGUACAGAUUCACCUAUCAAGCCAUUUUUAAGAUGAAAUGAAGGAUUAAGAGACUGUUCACUUUUCUUCUGGAUGAACAUGAAGACUUAUCUCAUGAGGAUUUAGACUUCAGCAGCAGCAGCGCCAGUCGGAUUGUGUUUUAGGCACACUUGGAAAUCUAAACCUCAUGGAGAUACUUUGAGGAUUAUAAAAGAUGUGCAUGUAGAAUGCCACCAUACAAGACGCGUCCUGGGCCAAAGUCCUUGGGAUAGCAGGAUAUUGCUUUCCUGAUCCUUCUCAGCCCCCAGAAUGGGGAGUGUGGGAGUGGUGAGGUCUGGGAGAUCACGACCUUAAUUCUCUCCAAGACAGACGGUUUAAUUAACACUGGAAGAAUCCUCACUGACUCCAGACCUCUACAGUGAGAAUGUACAGGGGAAUUGGCUUGCCAAGGUCCUCUUGGCCAUAGACUGAAAUGCUGACAGACGAUGCCCAUGAAUGAUGAAUGAUGACUGGAGGUCUGUCUGGUGCCAGCAGAAUGCAUAAUACAGCAUCGAUACAGCAAUCGCAGUCCUCCUCAGCAGAAACAUGGUGCAGUUUCUUUAUCACAUUAUUGGAAGAUUUGCCCCAAGCAGGACAGCAGGACCACUCAAAGUGGAAAUCAACCGCAAUGUUGAAUGUUGUUUCGGUUGGAGUCCUAAAUGAAGCAGCAUUACAAAGAGUUUUCUGGUGUGUCAGAGUGAGGCUCAGUGGGAAAGAUUGCUGUGUCUAGACAGGAGUGUGAGGUGCAGAUCUACACAGAAGCUUACAGGAAACUGAAGAAGACGGGUGAGGUUAAAGAGGACAGCACGAUGGAAAAAACAAGAAUGAAAGCAGCCAGUGAUAAAUAUUAACUUUUGUGAAACAUUUUGAGCAUUUGCAUCACUAAAAGUCCUCAUAUAUAGCUGUUUGUCAUCGCCUUAAACUGCUAGAAUUUGAUUUUAAAAAUACGGGUAUCAUGUAGCGGUUCAAGUUAGAAGCUGGGAAUAUGCAAUCACAUCUGUAAGAGUUACAUUUCGCAGCUCAUUGUAUCUCUGACUGCAAAAUAAAGUUUGAUAACAAUCUGUUUUUGUG